AUUGAACGCUGGCGGCAGGCUUUACACAUGCAAGUCGAACGGCAGCGGGGGCCUUGCCCUUGGAGCCAGUGGCGGACGGGUGAGUAAUGCCUCGGAACGUGCCUAGUAGUGGGGGAUAGCCCGGCGAAAGGCGGAUUAAUACCGCAUACGACCUGAGGGUGAAAGUGGGGGAUCGACAGGCCUCGCGCUAUUGGAUGAGCCGAGGUCGGAUUAGCUAGUUGGUGGGGUAAAGGCUUACCAAGGCGACGAUCCGUAGCUGGUCUGAGAGGACGAGCAGCCACACUGGGACUGAGACACGGCCCAGACUCCUACGGGAGGCAGCAGUGGGGAAUUUUGGACAAUGGGGGCAACCCUGAUCCAGCCAUGCCGCGUGCGGGAAGAAGGCCUUCGGGUUGUAAACCGCUUUUGUUCGGGAAGAAAUCCUCUGGGCUAAUACCCCGCGGGGAUGACGGUACCAGAAGAAUAAGCACCGGCUAACUACGUG
rnacentral:rRNA from 1 species